UGGGGAAUUUUGGACAAUGGGGGCAACCCUGAUCCAGCAAUGCCGCGUGAGUGAAGAAGGCCUUCGGGUUGUAAAGCUCUUUUGUCAGGGAAGAAACGGUGUUUCCUAAUACGGAAUGCUAAUGACGGUACCUGAAGAAUAGCACCGGCUAACUACGUGC
rnacentral:rRNA from 1 species